GGUUGCAAUCGGCUUGUUAUUAACUCUGAUAAUACUGAUGUCAUUGAUACAGUGAAGAAUGGUGGAUGGUCUGCAGGAACGGCAAGGACAGUUUUUGAGGAUUGUUAUUUUCUGGCUUGUGAUUUUCCUCUCACUAGUUUUGAACAUCGUUAUAGAGAAGCGAAUAAGGUUGCCCAUGAACUUGUUAGAUUAGCUAAAUUUUCCACAACUAGUGAUUGGUUUCAGGAGACAUUGGAGGAUAUUGUACCUCUUCUUAUAGAUGAUGUAACAGUUAUUUGCAAUUAA
rnacentral:rRNA from 1 species